UUCCCAACCCAGGGAUCAAACCCAGGUCUCCCGCAUUGCAGGUGGAUUCUUUACCAGCUGAGCCACAAGGGA
rnacentral:tRNA from 1 species